AUGGAGGCGGCUGCGAUACCUGGCGGCUCACGGAGUGGGGAAGCCCAACGCGGCAGCUUCGGUUUGGAGACUCGGCAUCAGUUGACACAGUCCGGCAGGCCGGAUCACCGACGGAGACGAUGCAAGGCGGCGGAAGCAGGCCCGCAGCCAUGGCGGCUUGGUGGUGGGUGGAGUGGCGAAGCGCACCCGCGGGCAACGCAGCCGGUCGCGGGGGUUCUCGGGAGCGGGACGGGGGAGCCGGUCGGCAACUCGGCGCAGAACCCAAAUCUAAACCGCUUCCGGAUCCGUGGCUCGGUCUGA
rnacentral:rRNA from 1 species